CCCUUAGAUGUUCUGGGCCGCACGCGCGCUACAAUGAUGAAUUCAACGAGUUUAUAACCUUGGUUGAAAAGCCUGGGUAAUCUUUUGAACUUUCGUCGUGAUGGGGCUAGACCCUUGCAAUUAUUGGUCUCCAACGAGGAAUUCCUAGUAAACGCAAGUCAUCAGCUUGCAUUGAUUACGUCCCUGCCCUUUGUACACACCGCCCGUCGCUCCUACCGAUUGGGUGUGCUGGUGAAAUGUUCGGAUCGGCCGUUUGUCGCGGUUUCCGCGUCAUGUGGCUGAGAAGUUCAUUAAACCCUCCCACCUAGAGGAAGGAGAAGUCGUAACA
rnacentral:rRNA from 1 species